AUUGAACGCUGGCGGCAUGCUUUACACAUGCGAGUCGAACGGUAACAGGCCGCAAGGUGCUGACGAGUGGCGGACGGGUGAGUAAUGCAUCGGAACGUGCCCAGUCGUGGGGGAUAACUACUCGAAAGAGUAGCUAAUACCGCAUACGAUCUAUGGAUGAAAGCGGGGGACCGUAAGGCCUCGCGCGAUUGGAGCGGCCGCUGUCAGAUUAGGUAGUUGGUGGGGUAAAGGCUCACCAAGCCAACGAUCUGUAGCUGGUCUGAGAGGACGACCAGCCACACUGGGACUGAGACACGGCCCAGACUCCUACGGGAGGCAGCAGUGGGGAAUUUUGGACAAUGGGCGCAAGCCUGAUCCAGCAAUGCCGCGUGCAGGAAGAAGGCCUUCGGGUUGUAAAAUGCUUUUGUACGGAACGAAACGGCUCUGGUUAAUACCCGGGGCUAAUGACGGUACCGUAAGAAUAAGCACCGGCUAACUACGUG
rnacentral:rRNA from 1 species